rnacentral:rRNA from 1 species
UACGUAGGGCGCAAGCGUUGUCCGGAAUUAUUGGGCGUAAAGAGCUCGUAGGCGGUCUGUCGCGUCUGCUGUGAAAACUCAGGGCUUAACCCUGAGCUUGCAGUGGGUACGGGCAGACUAGAGUGCGGUAGGGGAGACUGGAAUUCCUGGUGUAGCGGUGAAAUGCGCAGAUAUCAGGAGGAACACCGAUGGCGAAGGCAGAUCUCUGGGCCGUAACUGACGCUGAGGAGCGAAAGCAUGGGGAGCGAACAGG